UACAGAGGGGGCAAGCGUUGUUCGGAAUUACUGGGCGUAAAGGGCGCGUAGGCGGCCUUCUAAGUCGAACGUGAAAUCCCUGGGCUCAACCCAGGAACUGCGUCCGAUACUGGGAGGCUUGAAUCCGGGAGAGGGAUGCGGAAUUCCAGGUGUAGCGGUGAAAUGCGUAGAUAUCUGGAGGAACACCGGUGGCGAAGGCGGCAUCCUGGACCGGUAUUGACGCUGAGGCGCGAAAGCCAGGGGAGCAAACGGG
rnacentral:rRNA from 1 species